UACGUAGGGGGCUAGCGUUGUCCGGAAUCAUUGGGCGUAAAGCGCGUGUAGGCGGCCCGGUAAGUCCGCUGUGAAAGUCGGGGGCUCAACCCUCGAAUGCCGGUGGAUACUGUCGGGCUCGAGUACGGGAGAGGCGAGUGGAAUUCCUGGUGUAGCGGUGAAAUGCGCAGAUAUCAGGAGGAACACCGAUUGCGAAGGCGGGUCUCUGGGCAGUAACUGACGCUGAGGAGCGAAAGCGUGGGGAGCGAACAGG
rnacentral:rRNA from 1 species